rnacentral:rRNA from 1 species
GUACCCGCUGAACUUAAGCAUAUCAAUAAGCGGAGGAAAAGAAACUAACAAGGAUUCCCCUAGUAACGGCGAGUGAAGCGGGAAUAGCUCAAAUUUGAAAUCUCAUAGGAUUACCUAUGCGAAUUGUAGUUUAAAGAAGCGUUUUCGGGGGUGGCUUGGGUAUAAGUCCUUUGGAAAGAGGCAUCGUAGAGGGUGAGAAUCCCGUUUAUGAUCCAAUGUCCACUCCUAUGUGAUACGUUUUCCAAGAGUCAGGUAGUUUGGGAUUGCUGCCUAAAAUGGGUGGUAAAUACCAUCUAAAGCUAAAUACUGGCGAGAGACCGAUAGCGAACAAGUACCGUGAGGGAAAGAUGAAAAGAACUUUGAAAAGAGAGUUAAACAGUACGUGAAAUUGCCAAAAGGGAAACGCUUGGAACCAGUAUUGUCUCCAGGUAAUCAAGCGCACGUUCCGAAAGGGCCGCGUGUGUUGCACUUGCCUGAGGACAGGCCAACAUCAGUUUGGUUCGAGGUAAAAUCCCAGAGAAAGGUAGCUUGGAUUCGUCUGAGUGUUAUAGUCUCUGGUGAUGCCUUGAGCUAGACUGAGGACUGCAGCGUUAUUUGGAUAUCCCAGUUCGCCUCCUGAACCAUCUUCUUCAGACAGCAUGCUGACUUUGGGAAUGUCUAGAGAGCCGGAUUGGUGAAUCACACCAACGCUUAGGAUGUUGACGAAAUGGUUCCAAACGACCCGUCUUGAAACACGGACCAAGGAGUCUAACAUAUAUGCGAGUAUUUGGGUGGCAAACCCUCAUGCGAAAUGAAAGUGAACUUAGGUGGGACCUUCGGCGCACCAUCGACCGGUCUGGAUUUUUUUGAUAGAUCUGAGUAAGAGCAUACAUGUUGGGACCCGAAAGAUGGUGAACUAUGCCUGAAUAGGGUGAAGCCAGAGGAAACUCUGGUGGAGGCUCGUAGCGAUUCUGACGUGCAAAUCGAUCGUCAAAUUUGGGUAUAGGGGCGAAAGACUAAUCGAACCAUCUAGUAGCUGGUUCCCUCCGAAGUUUCCCUCAGGAU